GAAAAAAUUAAAAAAAAAAAAUUGGAAAUUUAAGUUUGGGCCUAGUAUUGUCUAAAGUUGCGACCCAUUAAGGCAUCAGGAAAUGGAGCUCCAAAAACAGCACUGUUGGGGCGCAAAACCCUUGCAUUUCGCCUCUUUUGAAUGAAGAAAGCGAGGGACUUCUUCUUCCUCGCAACAAUCCUCAGAAGCAGCAGCUUUCUCACUCUUCUAAGGCCCACUCCUCAGAUGGAGGACAUAUCAGAGAGAUACUGUUUCAAACCAAUUCUGCGAUGGAACCCUCAGGUGGAGGACUACUUUGUCAGAGCUUACGGACCUGACCAUUUCUCCUGCAUUUCCCAAGCUCUCACGUAACUUAUUUUAAUCACUUACUCUGAUACUGGAUUCUUUAUUUAUUUAUUUUUUUAAGUGAAUCGUUUGGUUACCCUUUCGUGUGGGAGAAAAUAGGAGUAAUUAACUUUACCUUCUCUGUUUACUCGGCUGCCAAGCAUAAAUUAGAAGAUUAGUUCUUUUGGAGUAGAGAUUAAUGCUGCAAAACCGACGCCAAUUGCAAUUCCCAGAGUUUGCAUAACUGUGGUAAGGCAGCUUCAGAACAAGAUGGCGUCACAAAUAAGUUCAAGGAGAGCUUUCACAGCAGUCCCAUUUCAAAGUGUCAGUUUCCAGGGUUAGACUAUGUUCUGUUUGUCAGGGGUUCAGGACCACACAAAAUUGAUUAUGGUUAUGCUGAUGGUAUACCUCCUAAGGAGGUAAUUGUGAGUCGCAAAUGUGCUGAGGCAGUUCUUCGAGGUGCUCAGUGGUUUUUGCAGGCAGCUUUCUACCAAACCCAGUGGAAAUCUGGCUGUUCUUGAUAACUUAACCCUGUUACCAAGCAAGGCAAGGUUUGUCUUCCAAACAAAGCAGAGGCGAUAACGGCUGCUAUUACCAACAUUCCAAACGAUCGUAGACCACCUAUGCACAAGGUCCACUUCUUGUAUUUGUAUUUGCCAUUGUCAUUGUGUUUGUUUUUAAUGUGUUAAAACCAUGUGCAUCAAUAAGGAUUUUACUUUGGUAAACAUUGUGUACAGAAAAAUUCCUCGUGCCAUUAAGCAUCGAUAUGAUUAAAAAGGAAAAAAG